rnacentral:rRNA from 1 species
GACGUAGGGCGCGAGCGUUGUCCGGAUUUAUUGGGCGUAAAGAGCUCGUAGGCGGCUUGUUGCGUCGACUGUGAAAACCCGCGGCUUAACUGCGGGCUUGCAGUUGAUACGGGCAGGCUAGAGUUCGGUAGGGGAGACUGGAAUUCCUGGUGUAGCGGUGAAAUGCGCAGAUAUCAGGAGGAACACCGGUGGCGAAGGCGGUUCUCUGGGCCGAUACUGACGCUGAGGAGCGAAAGCGUGGGGAGCAAACAGG